AUGAGGAAGAUUGAACUGGGAACGCUGCACAAUUCCAAAAGGAACAAUGCAGCCUACGUCAUUGGUCAUCUCACCCAGUGUCCUCCGAGAAAAGACAAAACUGUCAGUUCCCCACUCUCCCUAAGAAAUGCCUACCAGUUCCUGUGUCAUCAGCGCUUAAAGGCAGCUGACUGGCCUGGGGGUCAAAUCAAACGCCUUAAGACUCCAGGGAGGAAGUACUUGCUUCUGAGACAAGCGUUUAGAAAGUUUCUUCCACUCUUUGACCGAGUGUUGGUUGAAAGGAGUGCUGCUGAAACUGUAACCAAAGGAGGCAUUAUGCUUCCAGAAAAAUCUCAAGGAAAAGUAUUGCAAGCAACAGUAGUCGCUGUUGGAUCGGGUUCUAAAGGAAAGGGUGGAGAGAUUCAACCGGUUAACGUGAAAGUUGGAGAUAAAGUUCUUCUGCCAGAGUAUGGAGGCACCAAAGUAGUUCUAGAUGACAAGGAUUAUUUCCUAUUUAGAGAUGGUGACAUUCUUGGAAAGUACCUAGACUGAGAUAAAUCACUAUUGAAAUGGCAUCAACAUGAAGCUGCCCAUUCCACUGAAGUUCUGAAAUCUUUCAUCAUGUAAAUAAUUUCCAUAGUUCUCUUUUAUAAUAAACUAAUGA